CCAAAUGCAGCACAGAAUCGGCAGAGUUGUCCAACAAGUUUCAAUGUCACAGUGAGUCAUCUAUGCUGUCUUUGUAAAACUGGAAUAGUACAGAUGGUUCAAAUGUGAUACACCCAUGUGUAAUCACAAUGGUGAUGUCUGUUUUGUGAAUUUUUUAUUUUUUUGUUUAUUUAUUAUAUUUUGUGAGACUGAAAAAAAAAAGGAAGUCAGUUUUGUACACGGAGUCUUUUUGGUUAUUCAUCACCAUUAAAUGCUGAGGGUGAAACAAAGCAGUGUCAGCCAAUAAGGGGAGUGGAAGCGCGAGAUUGUCAUGGUGAUGCGCUGUGUUUACUCCAGAGUCCAGACGCUGAGGAGCUGCCUGCGACUGAGGAAAGGCACUAAAAUUCAUUUUUGUUUCUCCAGAUAACUCAGCAAAGAUCUGAACUGGAGGCGUGGGUGAAUCAACCAACUGUCGAACCAACUCAAGUCCAAUUCCACGGUUUGAUCCAGUCACCAGAACACUGUCACAUAUUCUAGAUGCCAUUAUCAGUCAGAAGCUCAGUCUACAAUGGAAGGCAUGAAAUGGUUGGGUCUAGACCAAAUGCAGAAUAGAUCAAAGCACCACUGACCGUUACAGUGAGCAACCAGGAUUAUCAUCUCCCUCCAGAUUCCUGCAUUCUUCUGCUUUCCAUCAUCAUCCGAGCUGGACAGAGGCCCGCGGAGAGGGUGUGCAGAGCAGAGACUGGACACACAACAAGGGAAACACUAGAAAGGGAAGCUUUAAUUAAGACCAGCAGCUCAAAUAGACUAAAAGGAAAAAGCUGAAAAAACGAGGAGGGAAAUCUAGUGAGUAAAUGUCACAUUUUUGUACACAGGCAGACUUUUGUUAAGAGUUUCUCCAUUAAAGAACCUGUUAACAGUACACUGAAA